GCCCUCGUAGCUCAACGGACUAGAGCGUAUGCCUCCCAAGCAUAAGGAUGUCGGUUCGAAUCCGACCGAGGGCA
rnacentral:tRNA from 1 species